GUCAUUGGGCCAGGGACUGCCCUCAGUAUAGUCGGAUUGCUCCCGCUCCUCAUGCAGCUCCCCCAGCUUUACCAGCACCUCCAGUUAGAGGCCGUGGUCAGGGUCAGGACCGUAGAGGUGGUCAGCAGGGUAUACGGGGUGGUCCCCGAGGAGGCAGGUCAGGUGAUAGGUUUGAUAGUCAGGGCAGAGGCAGAUAUAGCCAUUUCUAUAUAUCUCCAGCGAGGGCGGAGGCUGAGGCAUCAGACGAUGUGAUCAUAGGUACUAUUCUUUUAUGCCAGUGGCCCGCCUUGGCGUUAUUUGAUCCAGGCUCUACUUUUUUGUAUGUUUCUGUUUAUUAUGACUCUCGAUUGAGUAUGAUGUCUGAGCCUUUGGUUGCGUCGUUGAGUGUGUCGACCCCCGUGGGUGAGUCUUUAGUAGUGGAUCAGAUAUUUCGAUCUUGCUUAGUUACUAUCCAGUGGCGUGACACCCGGGCUGACCUUAAAUUGCUUGACAUGGUAGAUUUCAAUAUGAUUCUUGGCAGGGACUGGUUAUCCCCUUAUCGCGCUAUUUUAAAUUUCUUUUCUAAGACCGUUACCUUUGCCAAUCGUUGUAUCCCUCCGGUGGUGUGGCAGGGGUCUUGUGGUAGCACACCAGUUGGGUUUAUCUCUUUUAUUCGUGCUAGGAGGCUAGUGGCUAGUGGAUGCCUAUCAUAUUUGGCAUAUGUGCAUGAUGUUAGUAGGGAGGUUCCUCCGGUUUAGUCAGUUCCUGUUGUUCGUGACUACUUACAUAUGUUUCCUACUGACCAACCUGGCCUACCCCCGAAGCGUGAUACUGAUUUUCCGAUUGAGCUUGAGCCAGGUACUCAGCCUAUUUCCAUUCCGCCAUAUCGGAUGGCUCCUGCAGAGCUCAAGAAGCGCAGUGUUCAGCUUCAGGAUCUCUUGUGAAAGGGAUUUAUCAGACCUGUGUAUCAUCUUGGGGUGUUCCCGUUCUUUUUGUUAAGAACAAAGACGAUACGAUGCGCAUGUUCAUUGACUAUAGGCAAUUGAAUAAGGUGACAGUGAAGAAUCGAUAUACUCUGCCUAGAAUUGAUGACCUAUUUGACCAGCUACAAGGAGGUUCAGUGUUCUCUAAGAUUGAUUUGAGGUUCGGUUACCACCAGUUGAGGAUUAGGGCAGCGGACAUCCCUAACACUGCAUUUAGGACCCGUUAUGGACAUUAUGAGUUCUUGGUGAUGUCAUUUGGGUUGACUAAUCCCCCUGCUGCCUUUUUGAACUUUAUGAUGGGUGUGUUCAUGUCUUAUCUUGAUUCCUUCGUCAUAGUCUUCAUUGAUGACAUUUUGAUAUACUCGCGGUGUAGGGGUGAUCAUGAGCAGCAUUUGAGAGUUGUGCUCUAGACUUUGAGAGAUCAGCGGCAUUAUGCCAAGUUCUCAAAGUGUCAGUUUUGGUUAGACUCUGUAGCUUUCUUGGGGCAUGUUGUAUCGAAGGAGGGCAUUAUGGUAGAUUCGGCGAAGAUUGAGGCUAUUCGUGAUUGGGAUAGGCCCAUCUCAGUUACUGAGAUUUGGAGCUUCGUCGGACUAGCAAGCUACUACAGACGAUUUUUGGAGGGUUUCUUUACCUUGGCAGCACCACUGACCCUGUUGACUUGUGUCGAUGUUCCCUUUGUUUGGUCAGAGGAGUGUGAGGCGAGCAUUUUGAGGCUCAAGGAGUUAUUGAGAAUCGCUCCUAUAUUGACUCUUCCAGUUGAGGGCGAGGGCUUCAUGGUUUAUUGUGAUGCAUCUGGCGUUGGUUUGGGUUGUGUAUUGAUGCAGCAGGGCCGGGUUAUUGCUUAUGUGUUUGGGCAUCUUAAGAUUUAUGAGCGCUACUACCCCACCCAUGACUUAGAGUUGGCGGCGGUUGUUUUCACACUAAAUAUUUCGAGGCACUACUUGUAUAGAGUUCGAUGUGAGCUCUAUAUCGAACACAGGAGUUUUCAGUACAUCAUGAGCCAGAGGGACCUUAAUUCUAGGCAGCGUCAUUGGAUUGAGCUUCUGAAGGACUAUGACCUCUUUAUUCUCUAUCAUUCGGGCAAGGCGAAUGUGGAAGCGGACGCCUUGAGCCGAAAGGCGGUGAGUAUGGGUAGCCUAGCCUUCUUAUCUGUUGAGGAGCGACCCUUGGCUAUGGACAUUCAGUUCUUAGCCAAUAGCAUGGUUCGGUUGGAUAACUCAGAUCCUAGACGUGUCUUGGCCCAUAUGGGAGUCAAUCUUCCUUGCUGGAUAGGAUCCGUGGUUUUCAGUUUGAGGAUGAGGCCUUUGUGGGCCUUAGAUAUCGAGUGUUAGCGGGUGAUAAUGGUCUGGCUACCAUAGAUCCUGAUGGAGUGUUGAGAUUCGCCGGCCGCAGCUUUGUUCCGAGAGUUGGAGAUUUGAUUCAAUUGAUACUUUCUGAGGGCCAUGAGUCUAGAUACUCCAUCCAUCUGGGCACAUCGAAUAUGUAUCGUGAUUUGAGGCAGCAUUACUGGUGGAGUGGCAUGAGGAGAGAUAUUGUUGACGUUGUUUCCCUUUGCUUGUACUACCAGCAAGUAAAGGCAGAGCAUUCGAGGCCUGGUGGUGAGUUUCAGAGAUUACCCAUUCCGGAGUGGAAGUGGGAGCGUAUCACUAUGGACUCAUUAUGGGGUUGCCUCGAACUUCUAAAGGUGUUGACAGCAUUUGGGUCUUUGUUGAUCGAUUGACCAAGUCAGCACAUUUCCUUCCUGUUCAGUCUUCAUUUAGCGCUGAGUGGUUGUCCCCUAUCUACAUUCGGGAUGUCGUUCGACUACAUGGGGUGCCAGUUUCUAUUAUAUCAGAUCAGGGUUCUCAGUUCACGUCUAGCUUUUGGAGGACCUUUCCGGAUGAGUUGGGCACUCGAGUUGACCUUAGCACAACAUUCCACCCGUAGACGGAUGGCCAAUCGGAGCGUACUAUUCAGGUCCUUGAGGAUAUGUUGUGGGCCUGUGCUAUGGAUUUUGGAGGUCAGUGGGACCAGUUUUUACCUUUGGCGAAGUUUACCGUUAUAUGGUACGCAAUGUUGCUCUCCAGUUGGUUGGUUUAAGUCUACAGAGUCUAGGCCGCGUGGUACAAAUUUGCUUCAAGAGGCCCUAGAUCAGGUGAGGGUGAUUCAGAAUAGGCUCAGGACGGCUCAGAGUAGGCACCAGAGUUAUGCGGAUCGGAGGCGCCGACCUUUCAAAUUCUCUGUUGGUGAUCGGGUAUUCCUCCGUGUGUCACCCAUGAAGGGCGUUAUGAGGUAUGGGAGGCGGGGCAAGCUUAGCCCUAGGUACAUUGGGCCUUUUGAGAUACUCCGAACAGUUGGGGAGGUCGCUUAUGAGUUGGCGCUACCUCCAGCAUAUUCAGGCAUCCACCCGGUUUUCCAUGUCUCGAUGUUGCGGCGAUAUGUUCCUGAUCAGUCCAAUGUGCUCCAGUAUGAUGCAGUCGGGUUGGAUGAUCGUUUGACAUUUGUAGAGGAGUCAGUUGUCAUUCUAGCCAGUGAUGUGAGGAGAUUGCGCUCAAGAGCCAUUCCUGUUGUUAAGGUCCGUUGGAGGCAUCGUCCAGUCGAGGAGGCUACCUGGGAGACCGAGCAGGAUAUGCGAGAGCAGUUUUACGGCUUGUUUGAGCCUUCAGGUACUUUUUGAUCCUUUCUUUUGCGGACGAAAGUCCUUUUUAGUAGUGGAUGUUGUAAUGACCCUCCAAGUCAUUUCUUUGUCUUGCCUUCUGUGUGUCGUUUAGAUUGUUCCUGUAGCGACCCCAAGUAAUUUAUGACUUACUGGGACUAACAGUUCGGUCACCUGGUCGUUUGUUUGGUCUUGGUGUGAGUUUUUAUGUUUUGGAGCAUAUGAACCUUGAACGAUCAUUUUCGAUCAAAAGUUCAAGAAGAUGACAUCGGAAUCCAAUUCUAACGAUUCAAUCAGCUCCGGAAGGGUCAUUUUUGGCUAGUAGCAUGGUUGACAUUACUCCCGAGGAUUUCAGUGUGAGUCGCCGCAAUUAGGCGUUUUAAUUUUAAGUUUAUACCUAAGUUUGACUUUGGUAAACAUUCUGAGUAAACGCACUCGUAUGAGAAUUCCGUCAGCGCGGUUGGAUUCGGAAUAUCGAGAUUGGUCUAGAUUGACCCUUAUUUUGUGUCUCGAGGUUUUCAAAAUCUUUCCAAGCCCUUUUGUGGGUUUUGACUUAAAAUGGCCUUUGGAAGUGGGACCCAUUUUUUAUCUGGAUGACCUCUGAUGGAAAUUUUGACUAUGCCGUUGAGUCCGGAAUAUUAAAUUUGGUAUGGUUGCAUAUCUCGUUUGCAUGCACGGGGUUCCGAACGAGUUCGGAGCACCUCGUCGGAGUUUUUAGUUUUGGAAAAACAUUGCAGCAAAUAUGUUAUUAAUGCAAAAAAACAGCAACCUUUUCCAAACCUUCAAACUCUCAUAACUCUCUCAUCUAUUGUCCGAAUUAGGUGAUUCGAAGUGCGGGAGCUUCGUAUUUUCGGUGAAUUUUCUGUUAAGUGUUCAGAAGGUGAUGGGUGCACAUAGUUCGAGGUAAUUUCGCGAUUUACCUGACUACUGUACCCUUUUUUCGAGCCUUUGUUUUUGGAAUUCUUGUUUUGGUCAUAUCUGUCUCAUUUAAUCUCGGUUUUGGGUGAUUCAAAGUCCCACGUGUUGAUAAUUAUCGAGACUUCGUCGUAGAGUGUUCAAAGAGUGCUGGGCACCUUUCGAUUAUCAUUUUUUCCAAGUUUGGACUGCUGCUGCUUUCUUUUUUUUAGUUGACUAAAGUGUGGUUUCUUGUUUGUUUGUUUUUGCUAUAUUUUGAGCCUCGAAUUGUGUUCCAUUUCGGAACAUAAGUUUGGGGUGCUAUUUAGGGUCUCUUGACGGAGUCAAAUACAGACAGUUCGGUGCCGGUCCCAUGAUUCCCGUUUUGACUCCAAAUUUGACCCGUCUCCGUUUGUUGUGACUUCGGUGUCUAAACGAUCAUACUAACGUUGUGAUCCUAUAUUUGAUAGAGUGACAGCGUUCAAAGGUCAUUAGGGAAGGAAAAACUACGGUAAAGUGAUUUGGAGUGCGCGAGGUUGGCCUUAAGGUAGGCUACGACUUCCUUUCUUUUAGAUUGAGCUUAACUGUGUAAGAACAUGUCGAUUGGAGUGAAUUGGGGGUGGGUACCAAUUUACUACCUUACUUUGAUUAGAUAACUCAUGUUAGGAUCGAUUGGCCAUAUUUCGGGUAUAGUAUCAUGUUAACCGUUUUAGUAGAGUUGCAUGCUUAUGUGCUAAAUGUUAUUGUUUGCUUGUAUGCUAUGUAUCAUAUGCCUUGUUCAUCCUUAACUGUAAGAAUGAUGUCCUUAGUCUAGGUUAGGCUAGCAUUGACUUAGACUUAUGACCCGUGUGGGCUGGAUAGCCUUGACUUGCUGCCGACGUCGUUCAGAUGACUUAGCUCCUUGUAGAUUGGAAUAGCAGACUUGAGUUUGAUAGUUUGAGCCUAAGAUUAGGCGUUAUUGCUACCUGCUGCAUUUUUGUAUCUUCCCCUUCUCAUUCUACGGUUCCGACGCAUUCUCGAAGGUUUGGUGCAUCACUAGAGGCGUGGGAUUGAGAUAGUAUAGGCUUGGAGCCUUUUCUGUGAUGUCUUAGAAUGGACGGCGUUCCACGGUGGUGGUUGCUGGAUUGAAUCCUAUUGUAGAUACCAUCACCCUCGGGGCCGUUCUUUCAAGAUGUGCUGGGAACGUAUCGUUCGCUGGGUAGACUCGGUGAUAUCGGCGAUCGCCCCCGGGCCUCUCUUUCUAGCUGGGCUGGGAAGUGUGCUGCUGGCUGGGUGUCCUCGGGUCGCUCUUUCUAGCUGGGCUGGGAGCUGACUGCAUGGUAGGACGAAUCGCGAUAUUUACCUCACUCACGGGUCCCUCUUUCUAGCUGGGCUGGGAGUGGACNNNNNNNNNNNNNNNNNNNNNNNNNNNNNNNNNNNNNNNNNNNNNNNNNNNNNNNNNNNNNNNNNNNNNNNNNNNNNNNNNNNNNNNNNNNNNNNNNNNNNNNNNNNNNNNNNNNNNNNNNNNNNNNNNNNNNNNNNNNNNNNNNNNNNNNNNNNNNNUUUCUCAGUAGACUUAGCUUUUCUGUGUACCUAUCGGGCUUAUGGGGUUUAGUUCAGGUUUUAUUUGACCUUGCGCACGAGUGUACCUUCUAGGCAUACGGGGGUCCAGUUAGGUUUAGUUUAGUUGUACUUAGUUUGUUUCUGGUAUGCUCGUGUUCUUUAUUUUCGUAUCCGCUUUAACCUCUCUGUGUCUAGAUUCUAUCCUUUCUAAUUGUUUUUACCCUUUUAACUCAGUCGGCCUAUGAUGCCUACUUAGUACCUGCUGUGUUGGUACUCAUGCUACGCUCUGCAUCUAUUUCAUGAUGCAGGUCCCAGUACAAGUUAGUUCCAGCCUUCUUUUUCAGCUGUGAUUCGGAGACGAGAGCGAGCACUUGACGUUUAGGUUUGUUAUGUCUCCUUCUUUUGUUUUUCGCUAGUUUUGUUGCCUUUGAGACAUGCUCUGUUGUGGUCCACUUUUCGGACUUGUACUCUUUAUUAGAUAGCUCUGUAUAGUCGGAUUACUCCCGCUCCUCAUGCAGCUCCCCCAUCUUUACCAGCACCUCCAAUUAGAGGUCGUGGUCAGGGUUAGGACCGUAGAGGUGGUCAGCAGGGUAUACGGGGUGGUCCCCGAGGAGGCAGGUCAGGUGGUAGGUUUGAUGGUCAGGGCUGAGGCAGACACAGCCA
rnacentral:lncRNA from 1 species